rnacentral:rRNA from 1 species
AGCGAACGCUGGCGGCAGGCUUAACACAUGCAAGUCGAGCGGGCGUAGCAAUACGUCAGCGGCAGACGGGUGAGUAACUCGUGGGAACGUACCUUUUGGCUUGGGACAACACAGGGAAACUUGUGCUAAUACCGGAUAAGCCCUUACGGGGAAAGAUUUAUCGCCGAAAGAUCGGACCGAGUCUGAUUAGCUAGUUGGUGAGGUAAUGGCUCACCAAGGCGACGAUCAGUAGCUGGUCUGAGAGGAUGAUCAGCCACAUUGGGACUGAGACACGGCCCAAACUCCUACGGGAGGCAGCAGUGGGGAGUAUUGGACGAUGGGGGCAACCCUGAUCCAGCCAUGCCGCGUGAGUGAUGAAGGCCCUAGGGUUGUAAAGCUCUUUUGUGCGGGAAGAUAAUGGCGGUACCGCGAGAAUAAGCCCCGGCUAACCUCGUGCCAGCCGCCGCGGUAACAC